rnacentral:rRNA from 1 species
UACGUAGGGGGCAAGCGUUGUCCGGAAUCAUUGGGCGUAAAGCGCGCGUAGGCGGCCCGGUAAGUCCGCUGUAAAAGUCAAAGGCUCAACCUUUGAAUGCCGGUGGAUACUGUCGGGCUAGAGUCCGGAAGAGGCGAGUGGAAUUCCUGGUGUAGCGGUGGAAUGCGCAGAUAAUCAGGAGGAACACCGAUAGCGAAGGCAGCUCGCUGGGACGGUACUGACGCUAAGGCGCGAAAGCGUGGGAGCAAACAGGG